AGCAUGUCUGUUGCACAGAGACUGGGUCAGAGCAGCUCCAGGGCGGAGUGUGAGGACAGGCCCCCUGGACCCCUCACAGAUCCCUGCUCCUGGCCUGUGCUCUGGCCACCUCCUGGGCUCCCCACCAGCCAGGAGAUCUGACCGUUCUGUCUCCUUCCACUUGUGGAGGGAUAUUGAUGUUGAUGCUGUUUCUUCCCCAGGGCUGACCUUUUGUGGUCUUUCCCUUGAGGACCAUGACCUGGACAUGGCUGACAGGUGUCAGGAUGAGAAGUUCUUCCAGAUGCUGGCCCAGGAGACCCCCCAGAGGGACCUGCUGAACAAAACUGAAGGGCUGAUUUACAACCGUUGGCCCUCUUGGAAGAUAAUGUCUCUGCUGAAGAAAAUGGUGGGAGAGGAAGCGAGUCAGGAAACCAUGAAAGGGGCUGUAUUCCUGGUGUGCAUGGAGGUGAUGUUGCUGAGAGGUUUCUGCAUGAGAAUGGUGUCCAGAUUCGUUCGUCUCAUCUCCCAGGCAUCCUUCGUGGCAAAACUCCCAGGGAAAUCUGUGUGACACUCAGAAUAUGCUGCCAUCAGGUCUCGGAGCCUCUGGGGUCUCUGACGCCACCCUGGGGAGAAGCACAGAGUCUCCCACAACCACCACCUGCUUCUGCCCUCCCAGAUCCAGAGCCGACCCUCCAGUGUCUCUCAGCUAACUUCUCAUUGCCUUCCCCUACAAGAGAAUAAAUG